ensembl:lncRNA novel transcript, antisense to ALDOA
AACCCCAUCCCCACCCCGGCCCGGUCCUGCAAGGGGCCCACCUGCGGCGAGGCCGAAGGAGCCGGCAGAGCCUGGUCAGCAGCGAGUGAGCUAGGGGUUCCCGGGCUGGUUAUAAGGCAGCUCCUGCCCGCCCCACAUGUGUCCCCGAUCUUCUCUAAUGACCCCUGCCCUUUUCCCGCCACGGAUCCUCUGGCAGGGACCUAUAUUUAGGGAAACCUGAAGCCCCUGACAUUCACACUAUCGUGGGGCCCGGCAUGGGGGAAGGGGGAGGAAGACUUGGGUCGGCCCUAUUGAUGGGGAGGGAGCCCCUGCCCACUCACCGGUGCUUCAGAGGAAAUUCUUCCUUGGAAAUCCAGACGGAGGCCCUUGGUUGUCAAGAGAAAUAAAUCUUUGGCCAGGGACCUGUGGGAAGGAAAGGGGUGAGGGGACUCGGAUCACGUGGCCUCCCUGCCACCCUCCCUGGCUCCUUCUCUAAUCUCCCUCCUCCCUUGACUCCCUGCGGUGAUGGUGGCUGUUCUGA